UUAUCCAUUUCAUGAUGAUUUAUUGAGUAGGAAUCUCAUUGAGCUUCAGUCAUGCGUUGCUAUGAAAUUAAUUAAAUCUCAUUCUGACUAAAUAUAC